rnacentral:rRNA from 1 species
UACGUAGGUGGCGAGCGUUGUCCGGAUUUACUGGGCGUAAAGGGAGCGUAGGCGGACUUUUAAGUGAGAUGUGAAAUACUCGGGCUCAACUUGAGUGCUGCAUUUCAAACUGGAAGUCUAGAGUGCAGGAGAGGAGAAUGGAAUUCCUAGUGUAGCGGUGAAAUGCGUAGAUAUACGGAGGAACACCAGUGGCGAAGGCGGAUUGCUGGACAGUAACUGACGCUGAGGCGCGAAAGCGUGGGGAGCAAACAGG